rnacentral:rRNA from 1 species
UACAGAGGUGGCAAGCGUUGUUCGGAAUUACUGGGCGUAAAGGGCGCGUAGGCGGCCUUCUAAGUCAGACGUGAAAUCCCCCGGCUUAACCUGGGAACUGCGUCUGAUACUGGAAGGCUUGAGUGCGGGAGAGGGAUGUGGAAUUCCAGGUGUAGCGGUGAAAUGCGUAGAUAUCUGGAGGAACACCGGUGGCGAAGGCGGCAUCCUGGACCGACACUGACGCUGAGGCGCGAAAAGCUAGGGUAGCAAACGGGG